UACGGGGGGGAGCAAGCGUUGUUCGGAUUUACUGGGCGUAAAGGGCGCGUAGGCGGCCACUGCAAGUCAGUUGUGAAAUCUCCGGGCUUAACCCGGAAAGGUCAACUGAUACUGCAGGGCUAGAGUGCAGAAGGGGCAACUGAAAUUCUCGGUGUAGCGGUGAAAUGCGUAGAUAUCGAGAGGAACACCUGCGGCGAAGGCGGGUUGCUGGGCUGACACUGACGCUGAGGCGCGAAAGCCAGGGGAGCGAACGGG
rnacentral:rRNA from 1 species